GACGAACGCUGGCGGCGUGCUUAACACAUGCAAGUCGAACGGAAAGGCCCUGCUUUUGUGGGGUGCUCGAGUGGCGAACGGGUGAGUAACACGUGAGUAACCUGCCCUUGACUUUGGGAUAACUUCAGGAAACUGGGGCUAAUACCGGAUAGGAGCUCCUGCUGCAUGGUGGGGGUUGGAAAGUUUCGGCGGUUGGGGAUGGACUCGCGGCCUAUCAGCUUGUUGGUGGGGUAGUGGCUUACCAAGGCUUUGCCGGGUAGCCGGCCUGGGAGGGUGACCGGCCACAUUGGGACUGAGAUACGGCCCAGACUCCUACGGGAGGCAGCAGUGGGGAGUAUUGCACAGUGGGCGGAAGCCUGAUGCAGCAACGCCGCGUGCGGGAUGACGGCCUUCGGGUUGUAAACCGCUUUCGCCUGUGACGAAGCGUGAGUGACGGUAAUGGGUAAAGAAGCACCGGCUAACUACGUG
rnacentral:rRNA from 1 species